GCAAUGGCCAUCAGUUGCUCGUCACAUGUUCGACACUCAAGUAGAGACCACUAGCAGGUAACGGAAAUUGUGCAGAAAAUUGGAUCAAACGACGACGAUCAGUGCUGUGACCACCACAAACACCACACAUUAACAACAACAACAACAGCAGCAACAACGGUAUACAAACAACAGUUCCCGCUCAAUAUAGUGCAAAUUAAAAGUGGGAGAUUCGAGAGAUUUAACCGAAAGCCGCAAAAAGAAAAACUUGUGUGAUUGCCAACGCGCUGUUGCCGCCCACAACAUUCUCGAAACUUUCUGAGCAACGUGCUCUGACCACACGCUUUUCUGUGUUGUCUUCCUUCUGAGCGUUUGCCUAUCUGUGUAUGUGUGUGUGUGUGUGUGUUUGUGUUGUUAUGUGUUGGGUAAAGGAAAAGCCAAAAACGAAUAUAAGCAAUUAGGGUUUUAUUUGUCAGUCGAUAUUAGUGUAGUACUGUAAAAAGCAAGUGCAGUCAUCUUGUCGGUUGUUGGCUUGCGCACGGUUCACGUAAUAUAACAAACAAAAUACAAAUUAAACCAUCGAACACCGUUUUUGGGCCAGCAGAAUUGAUCCGUACCUUUACACCGGGCCGUCGCUGCAUUGCUUCCACUCUCUUUAUCCCUCAACAUCCAUCUGCAUCUCUCUACGACAUACAAAUAUUCCACAUCUCUGUCUCUCAUACUCGCUGUCGCUGUCGCUCUCACGCUUUCCGAUCUGUGUGUCGAUAUACGUUGAUUCUUUUUGCUUGCUGAUUUAUUUUAAUACAGUGGCUGUGCUGUGCUCUCUAUUCAAAUUCAACAAAUAGAAUAACUGACUGUGUGUGUGUGCGCGUCUGCUCUAUAUAUACAAUACAAAUCAAAUAUACAUACAUUCGCAUUAGUGUUACAUAUACACGUGAGCCAAAACGAACAGAGACUGUAAUCGUGUAACCGUAACCAACAACGUCACUCCAACUGUAACGGUCAACCAACAGCAUUCGCGCGACUCUCUUUGCACGACGAAGAAAAAGUAAACGGCAAAUAAAAAAGCGCGAUCUAACGACUCGAUCGUUACGUUGUAAACGCCAUCUAGCGUCAUUUCGCGAACAUUCGGUGUGCGUUGUCCUUGUUUAGUUUCGGCCGUAGUGCAAAAGUGAUUUCUCUGCCUCCCUAUCGCUCUCUCUCUCUAUCACGAGCAUUCGUCUACGUGUCUCGCAGCACACAUCGCGAUCUGCACCUUGAGAAUUCGGAUAAGAAUUAUUAAAGCACGACUUAUCGCUCAAUCCAGCAGCAAUAAAUAGGGCAAACAUUUAGAACAGAGGACGCAGUGAGAGAAAAAAAAAGGCGCAUUCACGAAAUACAUCGUCCGUCAGAGCCAGUGAAA